CAAACUUGCUGCCCAAGUUCAAUUCCCAUCCAAUGGAUUGAAUUAAGCUCAAGAGAUCUUGACCACUCAAUUUAGUAUAAAAGGGAAGGAGUAACCCCUUCAUUUCACGCCAACUUCUUCUUCUUCUUCUCUUGAUUUUAUUCUGUUUUUGCAGCAACUUCCCCUCUCUUUUCUGGUUUAUGACUCACGUAGAACAGCAAGAGAAGUUCCUUUUCUUCUCUUCGUUGUUUUUUUUGUUUUCUGCAGAAACUUAUCUCUCAAGUUCUCUUCUCUCUCGGUCUUCAUUUCAGAAAAUCUCUCCCUUUUCCUUCUUUAUUUUCUGUAUAAUUGCAGCAACCAAUAGAUGCUGAAAAACCAGCAGCACUUCUCUUCUUUACUUCACAAAAACAGCAGGUAAAACUCUCUGUUUUUCUCCCGAAAAACAGCAGCCUCUUCCCUCUGAAAAGCCACAGAAAACUCUCCCUCUUCUGCAGAAAAAUAGUGCAGCAAAAGCUCUCUCUCUUCUCCUUGUUUCUCUCUCACUUUCAGCAGCACUUUCUCUGGUUUUAUGCAGAUUAUUAUUGCUGUAUAUUGCAGCAAACAAAACCCACAAUCCAUUUCUUUCUCUGUUUCUGAUUUUAUCAGAAUAGUGGAAGAAGAACACCCACUCUUCCAUGUUUUGGACAGCAGCUAAGGUGCAACAAAACUCCCCUUGUUCCCUCUCUUAAACAGCAGUGAAACAAGAGCAAAAACUCUCUCUUUUCUUCCUCAGUUUGCAGAAAAAUCAGCAAGAAGAAAAGCCCUUCUUUGCUCUCACUCUUCUCGGCCUGUAACAGAAAAGAAGAGCAGAAACUCUCCCUUAAUUUUCUAUCUCUGUUUCUCUCAUAAACAGCAAAUAACCCUCCCCACUGCACAGAAAAAGAAAAGCAACAAAGCUGUAGAAAACACUCCAUGUUUACCUUCCUACUAGCAGCCCGGAAACAAAAAGAAAGAACCCUCUCAUUUACUUUAUUUCACGUCCAGCAAAGCAGCAAGCUCUCUCUCUCUCUGUUUUUAAUCCAGCUCUCUUCUCUGUUUCCACUUGGUCCAGCAGCAAGCAAGUUUCCCUUUGACACCGUGGAGAAGGUAGCAAAAAUACUGCUAAGAAAAUAUCAGAUGACACUGUAGACCGGAGUAUUUUCUUUAUGGAUGGCAUAGAACCCGCCCUAAGAGCAAUAGAUCGAUAAAAACCGGUCUAACUUUUGUAUUGUACAUAUUUAUUUUGAAUUCCUAGAAAAAUGAUGUAAUAAUUAAAGAACUACUAUGUAUAUAUUCUUAUAAUGAAAUAUAGCCAUGUGCUAUUCCUGGGAAAA